CGUGAUUACGCCGCAGCUAUGCGGAUGGCCACAAACAUCAUGCUGGCUUGCAAGGACGAUAUCAUCAGGAUGAACAUAAAGCCUACACGACUACACGACAUGGACCAAGUGUGCCUAUUAAUCAGAGUUUGUUUCGCUUAUAGCAGCUACACAAACGAUACACUUCACAAUUUCAAACAAUCUGUCGUGCGCUGCGCUGACAAGGUACUUCACAUGGCUGAGCUCCUGAAUUCGG